rnacentral:sRNA from 1 species
CAGGUGAGCGAGAUGGAAGUGAACGGGCAGUUCGAGUCCGUGUGCGAGUCCGUGUUCAGCGAGCUGGAGUCGCAGGCCGUGGAAGCGCUGGACCUGCCCAUGCCCGGCUGCUUCCGCAUGCGGAGCCACAGCUAUGUGCGGGCCAUUGAGAAAGGCUGCUCCCAGGACGACGAGUGCGUGUCCCUGAGGUCGUCCUCGCCGCCGCGCACGACCACCACCGUUAGGACCAUCCAGAGCAGCACGGACUGAAAUCUCAGUGUUAGGAGAAGAGAUGCUUGCAGACCUUGCAUUGGCCAAGCAGCUCAGCAGGGAGCCCAGCAGCUCAGACCCUGGCUGGCUACCUCCAGACCGGAGAUGGUGGAUGUCCGUAUAUUCUUGCUCACUAGGAAAUUCUCCAAGAACAACCACAGGUUAAUAAAUUAAAUGAGAGUUAUUUAUGAAGAGAAAAAUAUAUAUAUUUUUGAAAAAUCAA